rnacentral:rRNA from 1 species
GAUGAACGCUAGCUACAGGCUUAACACAUGCAAGUCGAGGGGCAGCAUGAACUUAGCUUGCUAAGUUUGAUGGCGACCGGCGCACGGGUGAGUAACACGUAUCCAACCUUCCGUUUACUCAGGGAUAGCCUUUCGAAAGAAAGAUUAAUACCUGAUAGUAUGGUGAGAUUGCAUGAUAACACCAUUAAAGAUUUAUUGGUAAACGAUGGGGAUGCGUUCCAUUAGGUAGUAGGCGGGGUAACGGCCCACCUAGCCUGCGAUGGAUAGGGGUUCUGAGAGGAAGGUCCCCCACAUUGGAACUGAGACACGGUCCAAAACUCCUACGGGAGGCAGCAGUGAGGAAUAUUGGUCAAUGGGCGAGAGCCUGAACCAGCCAAGUAGCGUGAAGGAUGAAGGUCCUACGGAUUGUAAACUUCUUUUAUACGGGAAUAAAGUUUCCUACGUGUAGGAUUUUGUAUGUACCGUAUGAAUAAGCAUCGGCUAACUCCGUG